UACAGAGGUCUCAAGCGUUGUUCGGAUUCAUUGGGCGUAAAGGGUGCGUAGGCGGCGCGGUAAGUCGGGUGUGAAAUCUCGGGGCUUAACUCCGAAACUGCAUUCGAUACUGCCGUGCUUGAGGACUGGAGAGGAGACUGGAAUUUACGGUGUAGCAGUGAAAUGCGUAGAUAUCGUAAGGAAGACCAGUGGCGAAGGCGGGUCUCUGGACAGUUCCUGACGCUGAGACACGGAAGGCCAGGGGAGCGAAACGGG
rnacentral:rRNA from 1 species